rnacentral:lncRNA from 1 species
AAAAUAAAAUUAAACUUUUAUUUAUUUUAAUUUUAUUUGAGAGAAAUUUGGAAGUUAAAUAAAAUAUUUAGCUUCGUGUUAUCGUGGGUUGUACCCCUCAAUAGCAUGGCCAUGUCCUUCUUCGGAUCUGGUGUGUGACACAAACAAUUCUUAAGAUGAGGUAUUUGAGUCUGCUUAAUUUGGAUAAAAGUAACAUAUGGAAAGUCACC